rnacentral:tRNA from 1 species
GAGGUUGUGGCUCAGUGGUAGAGCACUUGCCUCGUAUGUAUGAGGCCCUGGGUUCGAUCCUCAGCACCGCA